AGCCCUCUCUGAGCUCAGGGCCUUAGCUGGCACUGCAAUCCCUGGUUUACACAAGAAGAAACUGAAGCUGAGGCCUUUUCCAAGCCCGUCAGCCUCCCGGUACCAUCCAGCACCUUGAUAGUCAAUCAGAGAGACCUGACGGAAGCAUGGCCCCUGGACAUUCUCGGGUUUCAUUUAUCAACUUGUCAACCUCAUGGAAACGGACCAUCUGAUGGUCUUUUGCCGGACCUCUGAUGGGUUCCGCAAAAGCCUGGGUACCCCUAACCUUUCCUGACUGCGUCGGGUUCCCAGUUCCAGCCUUGUCAAGUGGGUCUUCCUCCUGCCAUCAUCACUGAAUCCAUAAUCACCCACCACAUUUGGGGAAACAGGACCGUGGCAGCAGUUCCGGAAUCCAGUUUCCUUCAUGGCCUUUGAUGACUUCAAAAUACGUGCAUGAAUUGCUUUAUAUUCUUCCUUUCCAGAGCUAGAGUUUAAU
ensembl:lncRNA